rnacentral:rRNA from 1 species
AACGAACGUUAGCGGCGCGCUUAACACAUGCAAGUCGCACGAGAAAGGGAGCAAUCCCCGGUACAGUGGCGCACGGGUGAGUAACACGUAGGUAAUCUGCCUCUGAGUGGUGGAUAACCUCCCGAAAGGGGGGCUAAUACAGCAUAAGACCACGGCUUCGAGAGAAGCUGAGGUCAAAGCCGGCCUCUUCAUGAAAGCUGGUGCUCGGAGAUGAGCCUGCGGCCCAUCAUCGGUAGUUGGCGGGGUAAUGGCCCACCAAGCCUAAGACGGGUAGCUGGUCUGAGAGGAUGAUCAGCCACACUGGAACUGAGACACGGUCCAG